CCCCAGCGCCACAAGUGGGAACCACUUUUAUUGGGUCUAAAGCAUCCGUAGCCGGCUUUCUAAAUGCCCUGUGAAAUCGUUGCGCUUAACGUAACGGCGUGCAGGGUAGACUGGAAAGCUAGAGACCGGGAGAAGUACACGAUAUUCUUAGGGGAGCGGUAAAAUGUGAUAAUCCUAAGAGGAUCACCAAUUGCGAAGGCAGUGUACCAGAACGGAUCUGACGGUGAGGGAUGAAAGCUAGGGGAGCGAUCGG
rnacentral:rRNA from 1 species